UUUUGACGAAAUACAUCUAAAUUUAUUAUUAUAUUUUCUUUAAAAAAAGUGUCUAAAAUUUGAUGUUCAUAACAUUUUUUUGCAAAUUGCAGAAGUCCCCAAAAAUAAGCUUUGAUCGCAACUCACUGCUCUGAAAUGGAGCAAGCCAUAACCGAGUUAACCAAUUGCAGCAGAACUCGCAUCGCACAGCUCAUUCUCCGGUGAAAUCCACACAUUCUUCCGCUACGUCACCGUCAAGUUGAACGCCCUAUCUUUCACGUGUUUCUCCAACGCAGUGCCAGUCAUUAGGUAAUUGACAAGUGGAGUACAUCUUUUCUCUUCCCUCAUGAACUCCUAAACAGAGAAUCUUGGAGAGAGCUAUUAAAAGCUUGGGUUUCUAAUUCUAACACAUAUAUCAAAACUCUAAGGAUACUCCCAGUCAUAACACCUGAAGCUGUAGACUUUACCGAUUACCUUCACAAUCAAUGAGUGGUGGUAGGGAUGUGGGUGAGGAUACACAACAGGUGGAGGAGGAGAGUUAUAAUAGUAUGGUGGUGGAAGGACCUUGGGUGG